rnacentral:sRNA from 1 species
GGGAGGGAAGCGAAGUGGCUCGGCGAGGGAGAGGACGCCCCAGGCCUUAUCAGAGCCCCCUUGGACCCGCAGGUGGCCGAGGGGCAGGAAUUGAAGGACGAGAGUCGCCUGCGCUAUCCUAUUAACGGUGCCUAGGGGACGGGCCCUCGCGCUGGAGUUUAGCGGCCGGGGGUGGAGCUCCAGGCCUUGCGGGGAGGUCCACGGAGAUUGGCCUCCACCCCAGGCUCCUUUGUGUGCCUCUGUUACGCCCAGGACAGACGCCGGGGGCUCUCCCUAAGCCCCUCGUCCCCACACCCUUACCCCAUUUACUGCUACUCUGUGCACCACAGCAGUGGCUGGGGUGAUCCUCUGAAGGCCAGGGUGGCAGCCUAAUGCUUGGGGCAGGGUCUGUGGCCCCCCUGAGUUUUGGGCUCUGUGUGUGUUUGCGGGGUGGGGAUGUGGAGGCGCGCAGCCCCAGGGCUCACUGUGCGCUGUGGUUCAGGCUUCCAGGCCCUGGUGCUGACAGCCCUGUUGGUGGGGCUGGGGAUGUCAGCGGGGCUGCCUCUGGGGGCGCUCCCGGAAAUGCUCCUGCCCUUGGCGUUUGUCGCCACCCUCACCGCUUUCAUCUUCAGCCUCUUUCUCUACAUGAAGGCGCAGGUAGCCCCAGUUUCGGCCCUGGCACCUGGGGGCAACUCAGGUGAGAGGGGUCCCGGGGUGGAGAUGGAGGCAGAUCGGGGAGUCUGCCUGUACAUUCACUCUCCAAUAUUCUCCAGGCAAUCCGAUUUACGACUUUUUUCUGGGACGGGAGCUCAACCCUCGUAUCUGUUUCUUCGACUUCAAAUAUUUCUGUGAACUGCGACCUGGCCUCAUCGGCUGGGUCCUCAUCAACAUGGCCCUGUUGAUGAAGGAGGCAGAGCUUCGGGGCAGUCCCUCACUGGCCAUGUGGCUGGUCAAUGGCUUCCAGUUACUCUACGUGGGUGAUGCCCUCUGGCAUGAG